GACGAACGCUGGCGGCGUGCUUAAUACAUGCAAGUCGAACGGAAAGGCCCUGCGCUGGUGGGGUGCUCGAGUGGCGAACGGGUGAGUAACACGUGAGUAACCUGCCCUUGACUUUGGGAUAACUUCAGGAAACUGGGGCUAAUACCGGAGAGGAGAUCCUGCUGCAUGGAGGGGGUUGGAAAGUUUCGGCGGUUGGGGAUGGACUCGCGGCUUAUCAGCUUGUUGGUGGGGUAGUGGCUUACCAAGGCUUUGACGGGUAGCCGGCCUGAGAGGGUGACCGGCCACAUUGGGACUGAGAUACGGCCCAGACUCCUACGUGAGGCAGCAGUGGGGAAUAUUGCCCAAUGGGCGGAAGCCUGAUGCAGCAACGCCGCGGGCGGAAUGAGGGCCUUUGAGUUGUAAACCGCUUUCGCCUGUGACGAAGCGUGAGUGACGGUAAUUGGUAAAUAAGCACCGGCUAACUACGUG
rnacentral:rRNA from 1 species